UACGAAGGGGGCUAGCGUUGUUCGGAAUUACUGGGCGUAAUGCGCACGUAGGCGGACGUUUAAGUCAGGGGUGAAAUCCCGGGGCUCAACCUCGGAACUGCCUUUGAUACUGGAAGUCUUGAGUAUGGAAGAGGUAAGUGGAAUUGCGAGUGUAGAGGUGAAGUUCGUAGAUAUUCGCAGGAACACCAGUGGCGAAGGCGGCUUACUGGUCCAUUACUGACGCUGAGGUGCGAAAGCGUGGGGAGCAAACAGG
rnacentral:rRNA from 1 species